AUGGCUACAACCAAUCUUCUAUUAUCAUUCCCUGUCUUGCAACAGCAACUGCUCACGCCCCAACACCAAAACCAAUCCUUCAUUCAAUUUCCAGCACCGUCAUACUCCUAAUGGAUUCCUCCCCACUCCGCUCCUUGGCCAACGACUUCUUGGGGGAUUUUGGAGCCAGAGACCCUUUCCCAGCUGAAGUGGAAAGUAAAUUCGGAGAUAAAGUUUUAGGUAGUUUUAAACACUGAACACAAAAUCCUCAAUCCCCCAAUAUCUCUGCUCUUUCUCUUUCUCAGCAGGAGUGUCUUCCCAUUUCCCCUUUACAGUCUCCUCUUUUCCAUAGAAGAUGCUAACCAGCUUAUUCGGAAAGGUUUUGGGUUGAGAGUUGUGAACGAGGAAGGAGAACUUAAACUUCGAUGCUUAUGGAAAUUGAGAGAUUUUAAAUGCGGAGUUGAGCUCAUUAACAGAAUCUCUAAUGUUGUAGAGACUGCAGGCCAUUUCCCAAAUAUCCACAUUGAACAACCAAAUCUAGUCAGCAGCAGAACUAUGGACAACAUCCAUUGAGUAUGAAUGAUUUCAUUGUAGCUGCAAAGAUAGAUGCAAUAAAGACAUCAGAUCUUGUCCCAAGGAAAAAGAGCUUGGGCUUAA